rnacentral:rRNA from 1 species
GACAGGGGGCUCGAGCGUUAAUCGGAAUCACUGGGCUUAAAGGGUGCGUAGGCGGGUCGGUAAGCAUCCCGUGAAAUCCCUUGGCUCAACCAAGGAACCGCGGGAUGGACUGCCGAUCUUGAGGGAGGUAGGGGCAGGUGGAACUUCCGGUGGAGCGGUGAAAUGCGUUGAUAUCGGAAGGAACGCCGGUGGCGAAAGCGACCUGCUGGACCUCUUCUGACGCUGAGGCGCGAAAGCCAGGGGAGCAAACGGG